rnacentral:tmRNA from 1 species
AAGACAAUAAGGUCUUGAAACUUAGGCCGUUCGCCCCCAUAAUCCAAGCAUGGUUGUAACUCCGGCAAUCUGGAGGCGUUCUGGACGGCGGUUCGAUUCCGCCCACCUCCACCCAAGCGUAUCGAGUUGAGCAGUUUGGUAUUUUUGGGUGGGGGUGCACUGGCUUCGACAGGGCGAACAAAAGUGAGCAGGCAACCCGUCAGGCGAUCGACGUUAAUGAAGCAAAUCUCUAAACGCCAACGAUGAGCGUUUCGCAAUCGCCGCUUAAGGCCUUUGCCGAGGCUGCUUGAGCCUUGUUACCAAAGAAAAGCCGGUGGGGGUACAGUUUCGACUGUGCCCCCACCGUCA